rnacentral:lncRNA from 1 species
CCCGGACCCUCGAAGCCAGUUCCUUGCGUCAGUGCCGCGGCUCUUUAACCCGAAGGGAGAUUUUUUUUUUAAAGCCAGAGGCCGUUGACGCUGGGUAGCCUUUGGCUGGGGUUGGUUAUGAACUCCGACACAGCGGUGGUGCAUACGGAAGGGUGGUAGCCGGGACGGUUCCGGUCCCUGCGAGCGUGUCCCGGGCGUCUCCGCGGAAGUUUCACCUGCCGCGCCGCUCGAUCGCCGGGACCUCCUGGGUCUCUGCUGUGCGUAGACCAGCCGCGUUCCUUUGGGUGGCCGUGGAGCACUAAAGCGGGGCUUAUUGUUUGUUUGGUUUUGGUUUUUUUUUUUGUUUUUUUUUUGCUUUUUGUUUUUGAACUGAGGAUCUAUCAGAAAUAGGCUGAAAAGACCGAGUGAGGAAGAAACUCUUUAACAGCUAUUUUUGGCAUCUUAAGGUGAUUCUCAGGAGUUGCUACGUAUCAGAAUCAACGGAGGAGUUUUUCAAAGCAGAGAUGCCAGGGCCAGUCCCCAGACCUGAAUCAGGAAGUGAGGGAGAGAGCCGACGGAGGGGGAAAAGUCCCUUCAGCUGAUUCUUAUAAUUUUGGAAGGCUGUUUUCUUUCCUCAAACAUUGAUGGAAACAGCCCCCAUGAAGUUCACUGUGUGCUCUGAGAAGGCAGUGCCUGGAGUAUAACUCAUGAAAUAUUUAGGAUCAUUGAAACAGACCCAGUUACAUCCUUGAUUUUCUGUGGGAGCCCAGAAAUCUUGCAGGAGAAACUAUGAAAUAAGUCCACAGAUGAGGCUGAGAUACGAUAAUGCACAAACCUGUCUAAUAGACUGCAUAGCAUGGGGUUCAUUAUGCCCUGGGACAAAAUGCUUGGUUUGAAUCUGGUUCCAUCACCUACUAGCUAUGUGAUUUAGGGAAACUUACUUAGGUUGCCUCAGUUCCCUCAGUCAUGAAAGGGUGUUUGCUACGGGUAGGACCUACCUCAAGGUUGCCUCACAAACAAUAUUUGUAAAACGUUAAUAACAGCACCCAGCACAUGGUGAACAUGGAUGUUAAAGUAGACCCAAAGUUCCCUGAAGGAAACAGAACUGGCAGGAGAAACACAUGCCACUGAGAGAAAAUUUCAAGAAGAGGAAUCAUGCUGUGGCCCAAACUGAGCAGCAGGUAGAGGUAGAGGCUGUGUCCAGCCAUUUUCCUGACCUAGGCUACUAUCCCUUGUUCCUCUGGUUUGAGCAUUAUCAGAAAAAACCAGUUCUGAAAUAAAGGAAAGAGCUCUUAGGAGGUUCAUAGCAGUUCUGCUAUGAAGAAAACUCCUCUAAGUUGCUGGUAAACAAUAGUGGAAGGAGUUUUCCAGUUGUCUAGGAAAGAGAAAGGGCAUUGGAGGUGAGUGACCCAGGUAGGUAAGCAAUGGUGAGAACACGAUGUGUCCAUCAUCUGGGCACAGGAGGUUGGCAAAAGCAAGGCAGUAGCCCAAGGGUAGCGUGAAGAUUUGCAAAGGCUGGUCUGCACCUUCUGGACAGAGCAGCCAUGCUGAACAGCAGGAACAGAAGAGUACAUGAGAACCGGCAGAAGGAUGCUGAGCUGCAGCUGAAAUCUGGGAUAUUUCUGUAAAUGUACAAUACUUGCACUCACCAAUGGGUGAGGCCAGAGGAUCUAAAGGUGACAUUUUAUCUUUUAAAGUUCACUUCUCAACUGGGUGUGGUGCCUUACACCUGUAAUACCAGCACUUUGGAGGAAAACAGGAGGAUCACUGGAGGCCAGUAGUUCAAGACCAGCCUGGGCGACAUAGCAAGACCCCCAUCUCUACAAAAAAAAUUUAUUAAUACAAAUUUUAAAAAUAAUGUAAAGUUUAGUUCUCAUCAUUCCAUGGUGUACCAAGUACACUUUGACUUCUAGGUACUCUGUUGUCUGAGUGAGAACUAUUAGUACCAAGAAAAGCAGGACAGAUAGCAGAGUUCUGAGUCUAAUUACUAUCUAUUGGCUUUUCUGUGUCUCUAAGGCCUUUCAGGGGCACGUUGUAAUUCUAGUAAUAAACACCACAUUUGAACAGCAGUUUACAGUUGACAAAGUGCUUUCACACACAUCUCUUAAUUUUUGCAACCAGUAAAAUAUAGCUCAACAAUAAAUAGACUUCCUUAUGUGAAUGUACUGUAAUGUAUUAUCUAUUCAUAGACAAUAAGGUUUUCAAUUUUUUACUAUUAUAAACAAUACUGUGAAAAGCAUUGUGAUGCAUAAUUAUUUGCAUAUCUAUAAUUAUUUCUUCUGAAUAUUCCUAAAAGAAUUGCUGAUUCAAAGAAUAUGCCCAUUGUAAAAGUUUUUAAUAUGUAAAUUUAAAGUAUUCCAUAUGGAUUAUUAAAUUGUUUUGAUGUAUUUUGCUACUAUAAAUAAAAAAGUGAAAUUAACAUGCAA